UCAACUAACGGAAUUUCACUUUCGAUGUGAUUCCAAUUCUUGUCAGUUAUUUGCUGUUUGAUAGUUGCACUACUUACACAUCAUUUGGGAGUCUGGAACCAUUUACUUCACAGUACAAUCAGAAACUUCACCGGGGUGCUGCCUUCAGCAGAUAACUAAUACACAGGUUGACAAUAUCAGUGGGGUCGUCACGCAUCUUACUGUUUGCUAUUACUUGUAUCAUCAUGGACGUCAUGCAGUAUCCUCCGGGAAAUCAACGGGUCUUCUCUGUUCAGUGCGGAGAUAAAGGAACCUGUUAUGGCAAGCGACAAGACUGCAACGGCAACUAUCACUUGACUUCUCUUGGUAUGG